CCUACGGGAGGCAGCAGUGAGGAAUAUUGGUCAAUGGACGAGAGUCUGAACCAGCCAAGCAGCGUGAAGGAUGACUGCCCUAUGGGUUGUAAACUUCUUUUAUAUGGGAAUAAAACGUUCCACGUGUGGGAUUUUGUAUGUACCAUAUGAAUAAGGAUCGGCUAACUCCGUGCCAGCAGCCGCGGUAAUACGGAGGAUCCGAGCGUUAUCCGGAUUUAUUGGGUUUAAAGGGUGCGUAGGUGGAUUGUUAAGUCAGUUGUGAAAGUUUGCGGCUCAACCGUAAAAUUGCAGUUGAAACUGGCAGUCUUGAGUACAGUAGAGGUGGGCGGAAUGCGUGGUGUAGCGGUGAAAUGCUUAGAUAUCACGAAGAACUCCGAUUGCGAAGGCAGUUCACUGGACUGCAACUGACACUGAGGCUCGAAAGUGUGGGUAUCAAACAGGAUUAGAUACCCUAGUAGUC
rnacentral:rRNA from 1 species